rnacentral:rRNA from 1 species
CCUACGGGUGGCUGCAGUGGGGAAUAUUGGACAAUGGGCGAAAGCCUGAUCCAGCCAUGCCGCGUGUGUGAAGAAGGCCUUCGGGUUGUAAAGCACUUUCAGUGGGGAAGAAAGCCUUGGGGCUAAUACCCUCGAGGAAGGACAUCACCCACAGAAGAAGCACCGGCUAACUCCGUGCCAGCAGCCGCGGUAUACGGAGGUGCGAGCGUUAAUCGGAAUUACUGGGGGUAAAGCGCGCGUAGGCGGUCUGAUAAGCCGGUUGUGAAAGCCCCGGGCUCAACCUGGGAACGGCAUCCGGAACUGUCAGGCUAGAGUGCAGGAGAGGAAGGUAGAAUUCCCGGUGUAGCGGUGAAAUGCGUAGAGAUCGGGAGGAAUACCAGUGGCGAAGGCGGCCUUCUGGACUGACACUGACGCUGAGGUGCGAAAGCGUGGGUAGCAAACAGGAUUAGAUACCCUUGUAGUC